AUGGAGUUUAUGGGGUUUCGUCCAGGGCUGGAGGACCACUGGGUCUGGAGGAGCCAGAUGGACAGUGGGGUCAUGGCGUCCCUGCAUCACCUCCAUGUAUACAGCCUUUGCAGUUUACAAGAAGCUCUCACUGUAUUUUCUCAUUUAGGCCUUGCAACAACCUGUGAGAUGUGUGCUGACUGCCCACAUUUGCCAGAUGAGAAGCUGAGGAUUGGAGAUGUCCAGGAACCUGUCCAGCAUGACACAGUCCUGAGCCUCUUUCUCAAUCUGUUCUCACCGAGCCUUGGGUUUUACCAUCUGUUUUUGGGUUUCCAAACUCACCUCAUCUUGGGUUAAUGUUCCUGCUACUCUGACGCCUACCUAAGUGGUUGAUGCUCCUUCCUGGUUCUUCUAGGCAUCCUGGGAAGUGGCCACUCACCUCCAAAGGACAAGGUAAGGAAGAAAACAUAGAAUCAUAGCUCUGGGCUGGUUUUCAUUGCUCACCUAUAAAACACGGAAGAUAGAUGUUUAACCUUAAUAGUAGUGGUUAAGCUAGACUCAGUCACUAAAGAAAAUUCACUGGACCCAAAAUGAUCAUGCUUACAAAACUAGGAUCAAUUACAGGAAAAGAAUACAAGUAGCAGCAGCGUUAGGGUAAGGACAUGCCUUGUAGCCAGGGGGCUGGAGAGGCCAGGUACAAGCUCCUGUCAUCACAUGGAAUACCUUGGAACUGGGGUAGACUCUCAGCGUGGGCAUGCUCGUAUUUUGCUGGUCACAUAGGCAGGUACCUGCUACAUAACCAGCUUAAACACUGCCUUUCAAGGGUCUCACGAAGAACAAGUGCAAACCAUCAAUCUCACUGUUGUCCGAAACAAUGCUGACAAGCUGGUCCAAGCUGCCCCCAAACUCCUCUGACCCCUGAUUACGGAGCAACACUAUGAUCCAGCAUGUUCCUUGACCUGACCAGGGGUCAGUGCUAUGUAGGAAAACACCUGCGUGUCAGUGCUAUGUAAACGAAGCAGCUCAUGGCACCAUCCACAUCCCGUG
rnacentral:lncRNA from 13 species